rnacentral:rRNA from 1 species
GACGAACGCUGGCGGCGUGCUUAACACAUGCAAGUCGAGCGGUAAGGCCCUUUCGGGGGUACGACGAGCGGCGAACGGGUGAGUAACACGUGGGUGACCUGCCCUCAGCUCUGGGAUAAGCCUGGGAAACUGGGUCUAAUACUGGAUAUGACUCCACGGUGCAUGUCGUGGGGUGGAAAGCCUUGUGCGGCUGAGGAUGGGCCCGCGGCCUAUCAGCUUGUUGGUGGGGNGAUGGCCUACCAAGGCGACGACGGGUAGCCGGCCUGAGAGGGCGACCGGCCACACUGGGACUGAGACACGGCCCAGACUCCUACGGGAGGCAGCAGUGGGGAAUCUUGCGCAAUGGGCGAAAGCCUGACGCAGCGACGCCGCGUGAGGGAUGACGGCCU